rnacentral:rRNA from 2 species
CAACUUUCAGCAACGGAUCUCUUGGCUCUCGCAUCGAUGAAGAACGCAGCGAAAUGCGAUAAGUAAUGUGAAUUGCAGAAUUCAGUGAAUCAUCGAAUCUUUGAACGCACCUUGCGCUCCUUGGUAUUACGAGGAGCAUGCCUGUUUGAGUGUCAUUA